ACCUGACUGCUAUCGGAUUGAUACUAAGCCAUGCGAGUCAUUGUAGCAAUACAAGGCAUACGGCUCAGUAACGCGUAGUCAACCUAACCUAUGGACGGGAAUAACCUCGGGAAACUGAGAAUAAUGCCCGAUAGAACACUAUACCUGGAAUGGUUUGUGUUCCAAAUGAUUUAUCGCCAUAGGAUGGGACUGCGGCCUAUCAGUUUGUUGGUGAGGUAAUGGCCCACCAAGACUAUUACAGGUACGGGCUCUGAGAGGAGUAGCCCGGAGAUGGGUACUGAGACACGGACCCAGGCCCUAUGGGGCGCAGCAGGCGAGAAAACUUUGCAAUGUGCGGAAGCACGACAAGGUUAAUCCGAGUGAUUUGUGCUAAACGAAUCUUUUGUUAGUCCUAGAAACACUAACGAAUAAGGGGUGGGCAAGUUCUGGUGUCAGCCGCCGCGGUAAAACCAGCACCUCAAGUGGUCAGGAUGAUUAUUGGGCCUAAAGCAUCCGUAGCCGGCUCUGUAAGUUUUCGGUUAAAUCUGUACGCUUAACGUACAGGCUGCCGGGAAUACUGCAGAGCUAGGGAGUGGGAGAGGUAGACGGUACUCGGUAGGAAGUGGUAAAAUGCUUUGAUCUAUCGAUGACCACCUGUGGCGAAGGCGGUCUACCAGAACACGUCCGACGGUGAGGGAUGAAAGCUGGGGGAGCAAACCGGAUUAGAUACCCGGGUAGUCCCAGCUGUAAACUAUGCAAACUCAGUGAUGCAUUGGCUUGUGGCCAAUGCAGUGCUGCAGGGAAGCCGUUAAGUUUGCCGCCUGGGAAGUACGUACGCAAGUAUGAAACUUAAAGGAAUUGGCGGGGGAGCACCACAAGGGGUGAAGCCUGCGGUUC
rnacentral:rRNA from 1 species